rnacentral:rRNA from 1 species
UCAGAGAUUAAGCCAUGCAAGCCAGCGAAGAUUACGGAGCGGCGUACGGCUCAGUAGGACAGGGAAAUCUAGCCACGAAGGAGGAUAACCACGGUAAGCUGUGGCUAAAACGAGCGUGGGUGAGUUCUUGGCCUAUCAGCUAGUCGGUACGGUAAGGGCGUACCGAGGCAAUAACGGGUAACGGGGAAUCGGGGUUCGAUUCCGGAGAGGAAGCCUGAGAAACGGCUACCACGUCCAAGGAAGGCAGCAGGCGCGGAAAUUACCCACUUGGAGGACCAGAGGUAGUUAUGGGGCGUAAAGAUGAGAAAAGUGUAAAAAGCUUUUUGAAUGCGACUGGAGGGCAAGUCUGGUGCCAGCAGCCGCGGUAAUUCCAGCUCCAGGAGCUUCUGUGUGAGUUGCUGCGGUUAAAAAGUGCGUAGUCGGGGAGCAGGCCAGCAGAAAAGGUGGGGAAUCACGCCUAGCAUAGUGCAGGAACUGGGACCUAGGGACCGGAGAGGGGCAACCUAAUUCUUGGGCGAGGGGUGAAAACUGCUGACCCUGAGAGGAGGAACAGAGGCGAAGGCGGUUGUCCGGGACGGGUCUGACGAUCAAGUACGUGAGCAGGAGGAUCAAAGACGAUUAGACACCGUCGUAGUUCCUGCAGUAAACGAUGCCGACGGGGCAGCAGGGGAACUUGUUGCCUGAGGGAAACCAAGUGUACGGGCUCCGGGGAUAGUACGGGCGCAAGCUUGAAACUUAAAGAAAUUGACGGAAGGACACCACAAGGAGUGGAGUGUGCGGGUUAAUUUGACUCAACGCGGGACAACUUACCGGGGCAGGCGACGAGAAGCGAAGGAUGAUGAAGAGAUUCACAGACUGAUUGCGUCGCGUGUGGUGCAUGGCCGUUUUUAACACGUGGGGUGACUUGUCAGGUUAAAUCCGAUAACGCGUGAGACCCUGUGUAGAUGGAAAUACGACGGGACAUGGCAAGUGUCAGGAAGAGCGGGUCGAUAACAGGUCUGUGAUGCCCGCAGAUGUUCCGGGCGCCACGCGCACUACAUUGGACGGCGAUAUAUGAAAAUGAGGAGCCGUCCGUGGUUGGGAUUGACGCUUGUAAUUGCGUCAUGAACGUGGAAUUCCUAGUAGUGGGCAGUCAUUAACUGCACGCGAAUGAGUCCCUGUUCUUUGUACACACCGCCCGUCGUUAUCUAAGAUGGAAGUGCGGAUGAGGUCGGUACGGCCGGACGAAUCUGUGCUUGUAGAUUGGAUACAA